GCCCUGCUGGGUGGUCUCUGUCCUGACCCAGGACCUGUGAUUGACGUGAAGGGGUGGAAGCCAAAGAGCUGCGGACAAAUGGUUUGCCUUGGCCCCGCUUGCUCAGAGAGCAUGGAACACAUCUGGAGGGGGUCCUGCUGCUCUCCGUCUGCAGUCUUACCCUAAGGAUCUCAUGGAUGAAGGAAUCUGGAAGAAAACAUUUCUAAGGAGGAGAGGAGGAACCAGUGCCUUCUAGACCGAGAGGAGCAAAGAGGGUGAUUUUCUCCACUGGAGGAGUUCACUAAUUCAUCAGGAACCAGGAGCUGCCCAGUAGUCAGUCCUCUGCACUUUACAAAAUGCUUUUCUUGAGUUGUCUGUUCACACGUGUGCUUCUGCAAUGAGGAACUAUACACAAAGCUGUGGGCAAACAGAUGGAGGGGCUGAGUCAGUCUGGAGGGAUCAGCGAAGACUUCACAGAGGAGGUGACAUAUUGCUGUGUCUUAAAGCCUAAGAAGAAAGGAAGACAUGAUCCAGGCAGAGGGAACAGCAUGUACAGACGCAAGGAGGCAUUGCUAAUCAACCACAGCAUCAUCCUCAUGCUACAAUCGAAGAAACAGAAAGGGAUGGAAAUGUGGGCCCAGGACCCACCAAGUUAGGAAGCAAUGGAGCCAGGCCUGGUGUCCGCAACCAGACAGAUGCGACGAGCUUGAGGUUCAGACAAACACGGUGAACGGCAAUGAAGAAAAGCGGCUGCAAUGACCAGGGUCUGACCUGGUGUCAUCAAGAUAAUUACUGUCAUUUGUGGGUCUGUGGUGCCAAGGGAAUUCUCCUGGGACCUUACCAGUAUUGAUAUGUGACCAGCCAGGAAGCUGCCUGGAGCCCCAUCUGUAGGAAAUACAAGAAUCCCACUGGAAAUUUAAUGUGAUGAACAUUUAAUGGAGUUGCUUUCAGGACAAGUCCUGUGAUUUUUCGGAGAUUUGGGGCAGUCUUCUCUUGUAUGGGGAAGGGGGUGGCAGGAGAUAAAAUAUAAGGCUGAAUGGAGCCACCUGUCUUUGGGGACGCAUUGGUUUCUCUCUCAGGAAGCUGUGCUCGGCAUGCAGAGAAUUCUCAGCCCCUGUGCAAGAGGCAAGCAACACUGUGACCCGGCCCGAUAAUGGAAUUGAAGAAAUCUGAAUGAAUCGUCUGAUGUGUCAUGACUAAGCCUGCAAUGUGCCAAGUGUCCCCCAGGAGAGGCCCUUGGAUAGCAGACUGGAGCACCACAAUUACGCGUUGGAGACCAUUUCCAGAGAGAGCCACCGACGUCAGUGGCUCUGAGUUCUAGAAGCUCUUGGAGGGUUUGAGGAAUUGUCCCGUGGAUUUGUGGCACCAGGCUCUCAGCGUGAGACUGAGGGGUGGUGGUGCAGCUCGCUAGUCCAGCUCUGGUGGUGGAUGGAUCUCCCAGUGCAUGCAGCCUGCUUCACUUCUGGGCAGUUUUAAUUACUCUCUAGUUCUUUUACUGAUCCCAUCUUGACCUCCCAGAUCUGUGUCUUGCUCUUUGUUUAAGCUUCUGGAGCCUUGUAGGCUCAUUCUCAUUUCAUUUCCACUGACACUCAAGUGUGUUCAGGGAGCCCUUAAGCAUUUCUUGUUCUGCCUCCACUCCCCUUCUGCCUCCUUACCACAUCUAUUCUUCUCCAGGGAGAAUAUUCUCAAUUUUAUUGACUGUUCUUCUGGUGGUUUUAUGGGUAGGUGCCUUUACCAUCUGGAUCAAUGGAUAUGAGAUUUAUUAAUAUUUAUAUCUUACUUGACAUGGACUCCUUAGAAAUCUGGUACUCAUAUAGAUGAUGGUAGCCAAAAGCUUUUAAUGGGCUUGAGCUCUGUGCCACUAAUACUGCGUGUUCAUUUUCUCUUUAAUUAUGUGUGUGUGUGUGUGUGUGUGUGUGUGUGUGUGUGUGUGCGUGCGCUAAGUUGCUUCAGUCCUGUCUGACUCUUUGCGACCCUAUGGACUGUAGCCUGCCAGGCUCCUCUGUCCAUGGUGCGAUGACCUUUUAAAUUUAAAUUGAUACUAUUGGGCUGGCCAAAAAAUUUGUUUGGGUUUUUCAUAACAUCUUACAGAAAAACCCAAAUGAACUUUUUGGCCACCUGAUAAUAUUACCCCCCACUUUAUAGAUGAGGAUACUGAGAUCUGGGCUUCCCAGGUGGUACUAGUGAUAAAGAACCCACCUGCCAAUUGCAGGACAAGGCUAAGAGACAUGGGUCCGAUCCCUGGGUCAGGAAGAU
ensembl:lncRNA